CCUACGGGUGGCAGCAGUGAGGAAUAUUGGUCAAUGGACGAGAGUCUGAACCAGCCAAGUAGCGUGAAGGAUGACUGCCCUAUGGGUUGUAAACUUCUUUUAUAUGGGAAUAAAACGUUCCACGUGUGGGAUUUUGUAUGUACCAUAUGAAUAAGGAUCGGCUAACUCCGUGCCAGCAGCCGCGGUAAUACGGAGGAUCCGAGCGUUAUCCGGAUUUAUUGGGUUUAAAGGGAGCGUAGGUGGAUUGUUAAGUCAGUUGUGAAAGUUUGCGGCUCAACCGUAAAAUUGCAGUUGAAACUGGCAGUCUUGAGUACAGUAGAGGUGGGCGGAAUUCGUGGUGUAGCGGUGAAAUGCUUAGAUAUCACGAAGAACUCCGAUCGCGAAGGCAGUUCACUGGACUGCAACUGACACUGAGGCUCGAAAGUGUGGGUAUCAAACAGGAUUAGAUACCCCUGUAGUC
rnacentral:rRNA from 1 species